rnacentral:rRNA from 1 species
UACGGGGGGGGCAAGCGUUGUUCGGAAUUACUGGGCGUAAAGGGCUCGUAGGCGGCCAACUAAGUCAGACGUGAAAUCCCUCGGCUUAACCGGGGAACUGCGUCUGAUACUGGAUGGCUUGAGUUUGGGAGAGGGAUGCGGAAUUCCAGGUGUAGCGGUGAAAUGCGUAGAUAUCUGGAGGAACACCGGUGGCGAAGGCGGCAUCCUGGACCGGUAUUGACGCUGAUGCGCGAAAGCCAGGGGAGCAAACGGG